AUUUUGGGCAAUGGCCGAAAGGCUGACCCAGCGACGCCGCGUGCGGGAGGACGCCCUUCGGGGUGUAAACCGCUGUCAGGGGGGAAGAAACCUUCAGGUGGGAAUACUGCCUGGAAUUGACGGUACCCUCAAAGGAAGCACCGGCUAACUCUGUGCCAGCAGCCGCGGUAAUACAGAGGGUGCAAGCGUUGUUCGGAAUCACUGGGCGUAAAGCGCGCGCAGGCGGGACGACAAGUGGGGAGUGAAAUUCCGGGGCUCAACUCCGGAACUGCUUUCCAAACUGUCGACCUGGGGACCGGUAGAGGCUGGUAGAAUUCCCGGUGUAGCGGUGGAAUGCGUAGAGAUCGGGAAGAAUACCCGUGGCGAAGGCGGCCAGCUGGGCCGGGUCCGACGCUGAGGCGCGAAAGCGUGGGGAGCAAACAGG
rnacentral:rRNA from 1 species